ensembl:Mt_tRNA
CAUAGUUCCUGCCAGGACUCUCACCAGGACUAAUGGCUUGAAAAACCAUCGUUGUAUUCAACUACAAGAAC